GGCGCAUUCGUCUAGUGGCCUAGGACGCCAGGUUCUCAUCCUGGAGAUCAGGGGUUCGACUCCCCUAUGCGCUA
rnacentral:tRNA from 1 species